rnacentral:rRNA from 1 species
GGGCCCGCACAAGCGGUGGAGCAUGUGGCUUAAUUCGAGGCAACGCGAAGAACCUUACCCGGACUUGAAAUAUUCGGGACAGUCUGUGAAAGCAGAUCUUCCUUCGGGACCCGAUUACAGGUGCUGCAUGGCUGUCGUCAGCUCGUGCCGUGAGGUGUUCGGUUAAGUCCGGCAACGAGCGCAACCCGUGUCACUAGUUACCAGCAUGUAAUGGUGGGGACUCUAGUGAGACUGCCUGUGUUAAGCAGGAGGAAGGCGCGGAUGACGUCAAGUCAGUAUGGCCCUUACGUCCGGGGCUGCACACGUGCUACAAUGGGGGGUACAAUGGGAUGCGAUGUCGCGAGGCGGAGCAAAUCCACAAAACCUCCCUUAGUUCAGAUUGCAGUCUGCAACUCGACUGCAUGAAGUUGGAAUCGCUAGUAAAGGCGUAUCAGCUACGACGCCUUGAAUACGUUCCCGGGCCUU